rnacentral:misc_RNA from 1 species
AACGCACAUUGCGCCCCCUGGUAUUCCUAGGGGCAUGCCUAUUCGAGCGUCGUUUCCACCCUCAAGCGCAAGCUUGGUGUUGGGGAUCGCCCCUCCCUCGCGGAGGCCGGCGUCCCUCGAAUCCAUCGGCGGUGCCGGUGCGGCCCUGAGCGCAGCAGCGAUGCAGCUCGAGGGUCCGCUCGACACGUGCCGCGAACGGCAGCGGAGACGCGGCCACGCUUCAAACGUCGACCUCGAAUUAGGUAGGGAUACCCGCUGAACUUAA